rnacentral:lncRNA from 1 species
GUCAGGUAGCAGAGGCCAGGCGUGCCCUGCGUGGCCACCAGCAGAGCCAGCCACCUCCCCUUCCUCUGAAGGUGCCCAGGGGUCAUGGAGUGAGCUGUGGUGACUCAGGUCUGGGAAAGACCCAUGAGGUCAUCUGGCCGCCUGGGCCACCGUGUGAGCUCAGGAGCCUGUCUCGGCCCCUGGACUCACUGGCCUGGGGGGUCCCCAGGAAGGGCAGCGUCUGCCCUGCGACUGCAGGAUGGAGCCCUGCCCGCUGGUGUGCGUGGAGACUGACCUGAGGUUCCCAGGCCCUGUGUCCACCGGGGAGAACAGGCCCGGCCACAGCCCCUCCCCGGCAGCCACCUGAGAGAGGAGCCCUUCUGGGCCUGGCCCAGAGCCAGGUGUGGCCGGCGUCAGGGGCAGAUCGUGAAGGUGACCGUGUGCUGAGUCUUCUGCCAAGCAGACCCUGGUGACCAGACGAGCUGACAGUCCCUCGCCCGGGACCACCCAGAGACGUGGGCACCAAGCCUGCACCCCAGCUGCAGGCCCUGGAGCCUGGCCAGUUGCCCCUCUGGACCUCCUGAAGGCCGUCUGGCCCCGUGGCAGGGGACACUAAGGGCACAGCUCAGCGCAGGGGGCGGAGGCUGGACGCAGCCAGGAGAAAUCGGGUCCAGAGCCGGCCCAGCUCUGCUGAAGACCGAGUUUGCUCCUCCGUCCACCCCAGUGGAGAUGUCCACCCCGGGUGUGGACGGACUGAUGGGGCCAGAUGACAAGUGCUUGCUGGCGAAGGAGCCCAGGGGACAUCAGCCCAUGAACACCAGCCCCCACCUCCACCCCYGUGGGUUUUCAUUCCCCAGGGCCUUCCGUGACCUGUGGUGACCAGCCUCACUCUAGCGAGGAGCCCAGCAUGAGGUCCCUCCCCAGGGACCCUCUCUCCCCAGGAGCCGAGAGCCCCUUCCCGUGCUCCCCUCAGGACCCUUCAGACACCUGCAGACUGGCCCCGUCCCCCGCCACACCCAGCAGGCR